rnacentral:rRNA from 1 species
CACUGUUGGUUAUGUGUGCCCAAGCAUUGAGGCAGUCAAAGCAGGCAAAUCCGCUUUGAUAAUGCUGGGAUGGGAUGGGGAGCGAAAUUUAGUAGCGAAGUAGCUGAUUUCACACUGUCAAGAAAAGGCUCUAUCGAGGUUAAAGGUACCCGUACCGCAAACCGACACAGGUGGGUGAGGAGAGUAUCCUAAGGCCAGCGAGAGAACUGUUGUUAAGGAACUCGGCAAAAUGACCCCGUAACGUAGGGAUAAGGGGUGCCACCAUCAGGUGGCCGCAGAGAAUAGGCCCAAGCGACUGUUUACCAAAAACAUAGGUUUCUGCUAAGUCGCAAGACGAUGUAUAGGAGCUGACGCCUGCCCGGUGCUGGAAGGUUAAGGGGAUCUGUUAGAGCAA